AUACGGAGGGGGCUAGCGUUGUUCGGAAUUACUGGGCAUAAAGAGCUCGUAGGUGGCACGUUAAGUCGAUUGUGAAAGCCCCUGGCCCAACCAGGGAAUUGCAGUCGAAACUGCCGUGCUUGAGUGUGAGAGGGGAGAGUGGAACUUCCAGUGGAGCGGUGAAAUGCGUAGAUAUUGGAAGGAACGCCAGUGGCGAAAGCGACUCUCUGGCUCAUUACUGACACUGAGGAGCGAAAGCUAGGGUAGCGAACGGGAUUAGAAACCCCAGUAGUCC
rnacentral:rRNA from 1 species